ensembl:lncRNA
AAGAUACUGUCCCAGUGACAAGUUGUUGUACCCCUAAAGAUUCAUCAUUAAAUUAAUCAAAUCAGUUGUUAAUACUAAUGUUUUUGUUGUUGUUGUCCAUCCAAAAUCACACAUUACUAAAGGACCAACAAUAUUUUUUUUAUUAUUAUUUGAGGAUCUGUAUCUCCAACAAGCAAGCUUUGCUUUAAAGAUUGAUAAUAAUGUAAAAUGUCUCUCUAUAAUGCUGAUAAAUUGUCUCUGCAGUUUCAACAUCAACCACCACUGAAGAAACUACUACAACAGCCAUGAAAACCCGUGAGUAAUUGAGUUUGUAAAUCAGUUAUUCUUACUCCAUUCUGAAUGUCCUGAAAACGACAAUCAUUCUUUUAAGCUCAUGAGUAUUUGUCGAUCAUUUACUAUACAUACGGUACAUCACCACACAUUUCACAAUGUUUUUUCAUCAGCAUUAACUGUAAUGUCCACUUCUGAGACUACAAUAUACAGUAAAACUUUAUCCGAUGCAUUCCAUUUUACUCUUGGGCACAAUGUCUUGUCGGGCCCCCCAAACCCACACACACAAAUAUGAGCACAGUCAAGGUUUUGAAUUAUAGGGUACUAUUUCUUGGAAACACCUCUAUAUUAUACAGGAUUUACACUGACAGGUUACAGCCUAUCACAAUCUGAAGGUCAAUAUCAACACACAUCCUCCAUCAUACAGGAUUGACAUCACAUGAUUGCAACAAUGCUUUCCUGGACCAGCAGCAAUCUUUGCAAUAAGUGUAAAAAGUAAUUAUGCUAUCUAUACUUUAUAUUGGCAGGUACUAUUUGCACCUCAGUAAUUUUGUACAAUAACUGGAUGCAAUAAUAACACAGGGCCUCAUUCAUGAAACUUGCGUAAAUAUGUGAGUAAAUUCAAAGUAAUCUGUGCGUAAAAUACCUUCCCGAAAACUCUCCUCCGGAUUCACAAACGCUUUGUAAACUUCAGAUUUGAUAGUUAAACGUGUAUGUCAAUGAAUUCCAAUCAUUCGUAAAUAGGGCCAACGUGCAUGCUUAUUCACAAUAAGAAUAAUCCCCGCCUAUGAAUUACAACUAAGGCUAGGUAAAUUACGUGUCCAGUAAUGCAGGGGAAUAUUUUGGAGUCAUUUCUCAGGUUUUGGUUCCAGUAUAUUUCAUAAAUGCAAAAGAGACCAAUAGGCCAUAUGCCUAACAAUAAAUAUUCAAUUAACUUGACCAGCUGAAAAAUGCCAAGGGCUCUUCUGAAAAUGGCCAGCUGGUGGUGCUUUAGAAUUCUUUGGUGGUACUGCGAUUUUCCAGCUGACGAUUUAGUUGAUAUGCUUAAUAUUUGCUGCAUACAAUGCAAACUGCUAACAUGACACUUAGUUAAACUUGAUUAUGGUUGCUCAUUGUUUAAUUCAAUUAGGCAGACCACACAAUACACACAGCAGUAUGGAUUAGAUGAGCAUUUACUUAUUUUAGAUGUUGAAUUCGCUGUUCUGAAGCAAGCUGCACUGCAACGGCAAGCUCUAGUCAUAUAUUUGAAUGUUGAGCAGCGAGCUCACUGGCUACAGGAGAGGACCAAUCAGCUGUGCCAUGUGAUGAUGUCAUUAUGUCAGAUUGAAUUAGACCUAUCAGAUUGCGUCAUCAGAGUUUCAUGCC